GGGGCUGAUUUGGUUUCGACGGGAAUAGUUGAGCAUAGAUGGCAAGUCGGGAGUCCACGUUAGAGACACAAAAAAAUAAAUGCUAAAAGCUUAAAAAAUGCUGUAGUUACUUUGUUUGGUGGAAACCACGCAGUAGCUUUUGCCUAAUUUAAUAUAAAGGACAGCGCUUCUUAUUAGUUUUACCUUUGGAUUAUUAAGAAGCUCAUUUUAAAAGGUUAUGGCUAUCUUUUGUCUAGAAGAUAGCAUGAAUUAUUAGACUGGUAUAUUUUCUUGGUCGUUAAUUACUUGGAAAGUAUAUGAGAAUAAUUAGUUAACUAAACUUGUAGAGGUUUAUGUAGCUCUAUUUUCGGACAGGAGUUCAAUUCUCCUCAGCUCCACCA
rnacentral:tmRNA from 1 species